GACGAACGCUGGCGGCGUGCUUAACACAUGCAAGUCGAACGGAAAGGCCCUGCUUUCGUGGGGUGCUCGAGUGGCGAACGGGCGUGUAACAUGUGAAUCCCCUGCUUAUGACGUUGGGAUAACCUCAGGAAACUGGGGAUAAUACCGGAUAGGCGCACCACCUGCAUGGUUAGGGAUGGAAAGUUUCGGCGGUUGGGGAUGGCCUGGAGGCUUUUCAGUUUGUUGGUGGGGAAGUGGCCUACCAAGGCAUUGUCGAGAAGCGGGCCUGAGAGGGUGACCGGCCACAGUGGGACUGAGAUACGGGCCGGACUCCUACGGGAGGCAGCAGAGGGGAAGAUAGCACGAUGGGCGGAAGCCGGAUGCAGCAACGCCGCGUGCGGGAUGACAGCCUUCUUGUAGUAGGCAGCUAUCGCCGGUAACGAUGCGUGGGUGACGGUAAUGUGUGAAGAAGGACCGGCUAACUACGUG
rnacentral:rRNA from 1 species